rnacentral:rRNA from 1 species
UACGUAGGGUGCAAGCGUUGUCCGGAAUUAUUGGGCGUAAAGAGCUCGUAGGCGGUGUGUUACGUCGGCCGUGAAAACCUGCAGCUUAACUGUGGGCGUGCGGUCGAUACGGGCAUCACUGGAGUUCGGCAGGGGAGACUGGAAUUCCUGGUGUAGCGGUGAAAUGCGUAGAUAUCUGGAGGAACACCGGUGGCGAAGGCGGCAUCCUGGACCAAUACUGACGCUGAGUGAGCGAAAGCCAGGGGAGCAAACGGG